ACUAGUAGAGUUAAUUAUACUCUAGAUAGAGUUAAAUGCAAUAUAAUUAACUCUCAGUCGAUAAAUAGUUGUUGUCAAAACCGAGUGUAAAAAGGAAGUGUCACUAAAUCAAACCUGUAAGUGUUAAUGUUUAAAUAUUAACUCCGAAUUUCUUACUCUAAACACUGAUCCUGUAUUUCACACUGUAAGUGUCAACGCCGCCCUUCCCCCUUACACCGCCUUAUAUCUCGACUGCGUCGAAUCGUCUGCUGAAGAGAGAGCAACGUCUCAACUUAAACGGCCGCAUUGUUCGAAAAUGCUGGCAAAGGUGGAAUACGGAGGAGUCCAAAAAUACAUAAAAGUUCCCCAAAUUGUUGAAAACUUUGACUUCCAGAAGUUUCUUCAAGAAGUAUCGGACAAAUUUAGUCUGCAGGCCCAACUUGUGACUGAAGGUGUGCUCAGCUUGACUGACACAUCAGAUACCGAGGUUGAUGCCGACACAUUCGAUGAGCUGGUCAAGUCAGGGGUGAGAAACUUCAAGGUUGGAUAUCGCCAGCAUCCAGCAACGGACAUUUGUAUUGUAUUGGAUGAAUCAGAUUCAUCUGUAAUACCAGACUCAUCACCAUCUCCUGCAUCACUGCCAGUCCCCCCGGUAUCACCAGCCUCUACGCCAGACUUCGCAGCACCGUCACCGGCGUCUUCCAAUUCAUCAGAUUCUACUAUUAUCCUCCCAACCACAAAGAACAGGAAGAGGGCCAGGAAAGAG